rnacentral:lncRNA from 1 species
UAGAUUCUGUAUGCUCAGGAGGGAAUUAGGUAUAUGUGAUCCUUUUAUUGAAUGAAUAUGAAAGGGAGCUAGUAGUGCCAUGAUACAUUCCUCUAACUUCAAAAAUUCCAUGAAACAUGAGUCAAAUUUGUUAUCUAUAGAUUUCUUACUCAUGUAUCAUUGUUCCAUAAAGAGGUUAUAAGGAUUGGAAGCAAGGAAAACUUUUUAGAAGCAAAAAGGAAGAGAAAACAAAAUUUCUGCACUUGGGUCGACCCAACCCAGAACAUGGGUCGACCCUACGUUGAGUCGACCCAAGAAAAUUCUUGAGUCGACCCAACGUCGGGACCCCACUGUUAUAAGGGGGCCCGAGAGCUCAUCUAGGGCACUGUUUGCCCUUUGUCUUCUUCCGAAAAUCCUUGUCCCCACUCUCCAAUCUCCACUAGACUCCUCCAAACAGUAGAUUUCCUUAAGAUCUUGGAGAAAU